AGAAAGCCCCGGCUAACUACGUGCCAGCAGCCGCGGUAAUACGUAGGGGGCGAGCGUUGUCCGAAUUUACUGGGCGUAAAGCGCGUGUAGGCGGCCCUUUAAGUCAGAUGUGAAAUCUUGCGGCUCAACCGCAAAACUGCAUUUGAAACUGGAGAGCUUGAGUUUGGGAGAGGAGAGUGGAAUUCCUGGUGUAGCGGUGAAAUGCGUAGAUAUCAGGAGGAACACCCGUGGCGAAGGCGGCUCUCUGGCCCAACACUGACGCUGAGACGCGAAAGCUAGGGGAGCGAACGGGAUUAGAUACCCCGGUAGUCCUAGCCGUAAACGAUGGAUACUAGGUGUUAGUGGUAUCGACCCCACUAGUGCCGUAGCUAACGCA
rnacentral:rRNA from 1 species